GCCUACCUGAAGAGUCCCAAAAAGGGCGAAACCGGUCGUGGGC
rnacentral:hammerhead_ribozyme from 1 species